rnacentral:pre_miRNA from 2 species
AACAAGUGGCGAUUUUGCAUUUGAUUGGUUGGAGGCUCAAAUGACGAAGACGGACUUUCGUCAUUUGAGCCUCUAACCAAUCAGACGCAAAAAUCGCCU